AGUUAUUAAGCUCAGAAGCACUAUACUUUGAAAGUAUACUAAAGAAGUUCAAUUCUUCUAUUAACUU
rnacentral:tRNA from 1 species